rnacentral:rRNA from 1 species
UACGUAGGGGGCAAGCGUUGUCCGGAAUCAUUGGGCGUAAAGAGCGUGUAGGCGGCCAGAAAAGUCCGCUGUGAAAACUCGAGGCUCAACUUCGAGCUGUCGGUGGAAACUUUCUGGCUAGAGUCCGGAAGAGGAGAGUGGAAUUCCCGGUGUAGCGGUGAAAUGCGCAGAUAUCGGGAAGAACACCCGUGGCGAAGGCGGCUCUCUGGGACGGUACUGACGCUGAGACGCGAAAGCGUGGGGAGCGAACAGG